GGCAGCCUGCCGUGAGGGAGGGGGAUCAGAUUCCCUGAAGCCUGACACCAGCCGUACACUAUUUGGUUGCAAAGCUUUGCCAGAAUUGACUGCAGUCUCCAUCAUCCUACAGCAACAACAAUUAGGGCGCUGCAGAGCAACCAGCUACCAGCAAUAGGGAAACUGUGUUGCCAAAGAAAACAACAGAUCUCCGACGUGAGAAAGAGGAAGCGCAAGUCUUCCAUUAAUCUUGCAAAUGCGGGUGGUGAGUCAGACGACGCUGCUUCUUUAAUGAAAGGUCAUUGUGUUACCAUUGGAGCUGAUUUUAAUGACUUGGCCUUGGGGUGGCUGUACAGUAGGCAAAGCUGGAGCAGUUUGUUUUUUAAAAAAAAUAAAAUCUUUCAUUUAUAAAACGUCCAGGCCAGAACAAUUGACAUGGUGACUUGGGUAUCAUUAGAGUGAGCUGUUGGAGACACUGGCAAUUAAAAGCUGCGUAUUAGACUAAGACUAUUGCUGUGCUCAUGUUCUCUGCUUGCGCAAACAUGUGCCUGGGUGCUUUUGCUCGAUUCACAGGGUCUUUGUGCAACUUCAUGGUGAAUGUGCAUGAUGUGCUCCCACAAUUACUGUCUCAUCUCAGAUUUACUUGAGGAGAGACCAUCAUGGCUCAGAUUUUGAACAUGCAAAUGGCCCCACGGUUCAUUUCUUGGCCUCUCCAGACUGAUCUCCGGUCAACGUAAAUCAAGGGUUGGAAACUUGUGUCCCUCCAGAUGUUGUUGACUCCAACUCCCAUCAGCCCCAGUCACAAAGGCCAAUGGCCAAGGAUGAUGGAAGUUGUAGUCCAACAACAUCUGGAGGACCUUAGGUUCUCCAUCGCUAGAGUCAGUGGUGGUUGGUGCCCCUUGAGACUCCUUGGACAGAAGACAGGGAGGCCCAAUAAUAGGGAGAUUCAACUGACUCCAGUUUUGACCCCAUCAUCCUCCCCGUGGAGGAUGUCAUCCUCUGGACUCAUUGUAAAUAAGAA